rnacentral:rRNA from 1 species
ACGAACGCUGGCGGCGUGCCUCAUACAUGCAAGUCGAACGCUUCUUUCCUCCCGAGUGCUUGCACUCACUUGGAAAGAGGAGUGGCGGACGGGUGAGUAACACGUGGGUAACCUACCCAUCAGAGGGGGAUAACACUUGGAAACAGGUGCUAAUACCGCAUAACAGUUUAUGCCGCAUGGCAUAAGAGUGAAAGGCGCUUUCGGGUGUCGCUGAUGGAUGGACCCGCGGUGCAUUAGCUAGUUGGUGAGGUAACGGCUCACCAAGGCCACGAUGCAUAGCCGACCUGAGAGGGUGAUCGGCCACACUGGGACUGAGACACGGCCCAGACUCCUAAGGGAGGCAGCAGUAGGGAAUCUUCGGCAAUGGACGAAAGUCUGACCGAGCAACGCCGCGUGAGUGAAGAAGGUUUUCGGAUCGUAAAACUCUGUUGUUAGAGAAGAACAAGGACGUUAGUAACUGAACGUCCCCUGACGGUAUCUAACCAGAAAGCCACGGCUAACUACGUG